rnacentral:lncRNA from 1 species
AAAGUCCUUUUAUUUGCAGCUUUGACCAAAUGGUGACCCGAGGGGCGGAGAGGGUCUGAGGAACCUGUGGGGAGUGAGACACAAAACAAGGCCGAACAUCUAGGUUCCCUGCAGUUCCCUGAGUGUCCACUAGAGGCUGUGUCCUUCAGUGAGUCAAUCCUAAUAGAGCCUGAUGUUAAAAUAUUAAACUUUACAGCAGGAAUAAGCAUGUCGACAGUCAGGUACAAAAAUAUCUAUAGCUCAUCAGAGUAGGGAUUAAAGUCGCCUGUUCAUGAACAUCGGCGUGUUUUCAGAGGUUUGUUUUUGUGAAUAUCAGACUCAUCAUUGGUCUAAUUUCCCUUGAAGACGGUUUGAUCCUCGUUGUAUCAGGAUGAUAUUCUGUGUAAAUCUGUGCGAAGCUGCAAACAUGUCCUCCUGCUCUGUUUUUAACAUCUUUCAUAUCGUCCUGUGAUCUGAGGAGGAACUAAGACCUCUCCGCUCUGUGACCGAUAAUGGAGGUGAGCGACCUGUGGAGGCAGACGGGAAACGGAGCCGUCUUACACCGCCGCUAGCACAGCUGAGCACGCUCAGUCUGAUCAGGCUGAUGAAAGGUGAUAGUCUGCAGAGAUCGUAUCUGAGAGGAGGGACUCAUUAAAAAGGGAACUCUGCUAAAGUGGAGGAGAUGGACGUGUGAGAAGGACUCUGAGGUUUGUCGUGAAACACCUUAAAAACUUUCAAAAACCUUAAAAAAAGCUUGAAAAUCUUAAAAACCUUAAAGAUAAAAAAAACCCUUAAAAACCUUUAAACACUUUUAACAACCUUUUAAAACCUUACAAACCUUUGAAAACCUUUAAAAGCCUUAAAAACAUUUAAAACCCUUAAAAACUUUCAAAAACCUUUAAAAUCCUUCAAACCUUGAAAACUUUAAAAGCCUUUAAAAACCCUUAAAACCUUUAAAAACCUUCAAAAAAAUUUAAAAACCUUUAAAAGCCUUUUAAAAAUGUCAGCAACCUUUAAAAACCUUUUAAAACAUUCUAAGAACCUUUAAGAACUUUCAAAAACCUUCAAAACCUUUUAAAAUCCUUUAAAAACUGUCAAAAACCUUCAAAAGCCUUUUACUAAACCUUUUAAAACCUUUUAAAAACCUUUAAAAACUUUAAAAACCCUUUAAAUUCUCUCGAUGUGAAGUCAGCUGAUCUGCAGAAACUGCAUGAUGUCAUCACGCCAAUAUGAGUCAAAAUCUCUUAAAAACGCCGCCUGAGGCCUGUCCUGCAGGAAGUCUUCCUUUUAUUUCCUUGUUCCUAUAACUCUAUGAGCCACCUUCAAAAUAAAAGCCUGCCUCAUGUUGGUGCUCUCAGCCGCAGGGUUCAAAGUUUCUCUUGUCGAAGUUCUUGGGUCUCAACUUUUCAGGUGAAGUCCGGGGUCAGAUCUUCCUUCCUCUCUCACACACAGAGCAGCUGAUUAUGGCGAGAAAAAGCCGAGUGUAUUUUCAUUCAGAGGGGACGGCGGCGCGGCUCUGACACGGCGUGAGUAAUGGCGCCUGGCUCAGGACAGGAAACUCAUAAAGCCUCCUGUAGCAGCUGCUAUCUGUGAAAGUAGGAUGGAUAUCUCCCUCAGAGGGAUCCAAAACAACGGUCCGCCCGGGCUCGGAGGAAAAACACGAGGGUGGAGUUUAUUUCAGGGUGAGGUGACGGAGAGAAGAGCUCUGAACGAUGACCCAUGAAGACCAGAGACUCUUAAAACAGAGUUUAACUAAAACACACUGAGGUUAGCCCCGCCUCCUCCAUGUAAACCGAUGGGACAUGAGUCAAAAAUCACAGUCCUGGUCACAUUAAUGUUUCAUAGUUAUAAGCUCAUUUUAUUGGUCUAAAGGAGUCAUGUGAUGCUAUAAAAAGAAGCGAAACAGAGUGAUUGACAGCUCUGUUGACCAAUAAGGCCCGCCCUCUAAUGGAUCUGGUCCACAUAUAGGUGGUCUCGGUGGUAAAACAGGUUUAAUCCUGCAAAGAAGUGAGGUGACCGAUACAGUUAACAUCCUGCAACCAUGACUAAUGAGAAGGAAGAGAGGAGCAAACUGAUGAAACAGAGCUAAUGGACAUAAAUAUCAAUAUAUAUAUAAACAUGCACACAUCAAGAACUCUGAGAACCCGGGUGAACUGCAGGGUCAGGGUUAAGGGUUAGGGGUUAGAGUUAGGGGGAUAGGGUUAGGGUUAGGGUUAGGAUUAGGGUUUGGUUAGGGGUAGGGGUUAGGGUUAGGGUUGGGUUAGGGGUAAGCAUUAGGGUGAGGGUUAGGGUCAGGGUUAGGGUUAGGCUUGGGGUACGGUUAGGGGUUAGGGGUAGGGGGUUAGGGUUAGGAUUAGGGUUUGGUUAGGGGUAGGGGUAGGGGUUAGGGUUGGGGUUAUGGGAAAGGGUUAGGGUUCUGGUUACAGUUAGGGGUAAGUGUUAGGGUUAGGGGUAGGGGGUUAGGGUUAGGAUUAGGUUUAGGGUUUAGGGUUAAGGUUAGGGGUGAGAGUUAGGUUCAGGGGUUAGGGUUAGGGGUAAGGGUGGGGUUAGGGUUCUGGUUACAGUUAGGGGUAAGCGUUAGGGUUAGGGGUUAGGGUCAUGGUUAGGUUUAGGGUUGGGGUAGGGGUUAGGGGUAGGGGUAAGGGUUAGGGUUCUGGUUACAGUUAGGGGUAAGCGUUAGGGUUAGGGGUUAGGGUCAUGGUUAGGUUUAGGGUUGGGGUAGAGUUAGGGGUUUAGGGUUAGGGGUGAGAGUUAGGUUCAGGGGUUAGGGUUAGAGUUAGAGUUGGGUUAGGGUUGGGGUUGGGGUUAGGUUUAGGGUGCAGAUCAGGUUAUUAUUGAUCAUGCAUUUACAGAUCUGUAGCUGUUUUCUGAUCCCUUCAAUCUCUCCAAACUUCUCCACAUUUCCUCAUCUCUUAUUUUAUAAAGUCACGUCGUCAUAAAACCCACCGGCUCGCCCUCAGUUGCUGUUUUAAUACAAAUACAGUAUCUGAACUCUCUUAGACUCCAAACUUUGCAGGAUCCUGAACUACAAAGUCCUUUUUUUUUAAAGUUGAGCAGUGACUCAGAGAGUUUAAUCCCUGAUGUGCUGGAAAGACUUCAGAAAAGCUGCAGAGUUUCUCGAACAGAAGAAGAAGAAGAAAGCGUGUAUGUGUGCAGAAAAGGAGUUUCUGUGCUCAUCCCAGAGCAGGAAAUCUCUGCUGCAGUCAUUUGUCUUCACUGAUUUAAUGUUGAAAAUGAGUCCUGAGAGAGCGACCUGUGCACCUGCUGCAGGCUGAGUCUUCCUAAUAAACUGAAUCAUCGGCUCUUUGUCUGCUGUUAGACCCAAACAAGAGCUCAUGUUUAAGUCCUAAUGAAAAUGUCAGACUCACACAGAUAACUGUCUGAAUGAUCAUUAGUCGCGCACGCUCGCCAUAAAGCGUUUAAAUGUGGAAAUGUCAGAGCUGUCUGAGCUCAUCUAUUAUUUAUUCUGAUUUUACAUCAUUAUUUAGAGCCUCACAGAACAAUACGCUGAAUAAUCAGGGAAAUGUUUGUUAAUUAUGUGUGGCAUUAAGUCAAUGUGACCCAGACUGAUGUUAGACGCUCUAAUCUCAGCUAAAACCAAUUUAAACGCAGAGUACGUUGGUUUUUUAUUUCAUUUUAAUUCACAUUCAUGCAGACGCUGUCGCUCUGAGGACCCGGACUAACAGCUGGAGGCGUUUCUUUUAUUCGGGAAAACACAACAUAGAAGUCUAUCAGUGAUCCUGGGCCCACAGAGAUCAGUCUGAGAACUGAGGCAGAGAGAGGGGGCGGACACAAAUACAGGGGCAACAAGACAGAGGGUCAAACGGGCAAAAGGUUCGAUUAAAGCAGGUCAAGGUGAGUACAGGGUGAGGGAUCGAAAAAGAAAACGAGACUGAUGAGAGACAUGAGGUUUGAUACAUGAGGUCAUGAGGGAGAGACAAUCAGGAGGCAGGUGUGACAGGAAGACAGGGUUAGUGACUUCAAAAUAAAACAGGAAGGACAACUAAUAGUACAUGUCUGCAGAGUCGGAGAGCCAAGCAGAUCCACAACUGUCUUUGUGCCCCUGCUGGACGGAGUAGGGCAUUGCAUGACAGAUCCAUGACCUUCUUUUUAACACAUCCGUUUUUGUGCCCAGAAAUUUAAUUUAAUAAACAAGUUAAUAAAUAAAAAUAAAAAAUAAAAAUUUGUGAAGACUGUGACUGUGACUGCCCAAAGUCACAUAUUUAGAUAUUAAUCUAGAUUUUAUUAAUUUUACAUUUAUCUACUUAUCAUCUUUUUAUGUAUUGUCUGCCAACUUGAAAUAUUUCGGUUUAUUCUACCAAAAUAUGAACUUAUAUCAUCCCAAUAUCUGAGGGAUCGACCUCUUUUUUAUCCUCUUCAUUCCUCUGCGAUGAUUUUGACCCUGAAUACAAAAGUCUGUGUCUGCAGAGUCGGAUCAAUCUGAUAUAUUUUCAUGUUCAAUCUCACGCACAUUAUUAGUCAUCACACUUCUGUUUCAUUCACUACAAUGCUAGUAACCUACGGGUCAAAUAGUGCAUUUCCGAUUUCUGACAAGCUAAUGUUAGCAUUAGCUUGACUGAGAUUCGAUUUUAGACUAUCAUGGAAAGACGUCCUGAACGGAGCCUGUCACAUCGACAUUUAUUUCUCCGUCAAAUUCAAGACAACAGUUUUAUUAAUGACUAAAAUAUGUGUGAGUCUCGAUCAUGACGUCGCUCCAUUCGAGCCGAUAACUUUCGAGAAAGAAGCGGUAAGAAGAGGCGGUCACGUGUUUCAGGUUGUGGAUCUGUCAUGAAAAAGUGACUCUGACAGAAACAGUGAAGAAUGACGGUGUGUUUGCCGUUAAUCGUAAAUUCAUGUAUUUUUACACUUUUUAUUUAGUCGUGUUUAAGUUCAGAUGUGUGAGACUCCUCCGUCUCUGACUGUUUAAAAAAGCUGCAGAGAAAAAAACACAAACAGGAAUAUUUUUGUUUGUUUUUCUCCUUUUAGCUCCACGUGAGAACGAACAGAGCUGAAGGAGGUUUAUCCAAACUCCAAACCGCCGUCCCUGAGUGUGACCCAGAUAUCAAAUUAAAGACGCGGACCUUCACACGAACACAUGCUGUUUAUUUCUGUGUGCGCUGACAGUUUAGCUGGAGGUGAUUCUGCUCACCCCGAUAAUCUCACGUCAUCUUUAUGGAAGUUUUAUCUCUCCAUGAUGAUGAGCGAAACACGGAAACACGGAAACACAGAGCGAGCGUCUCUUUAACCCUCCGUCUGACUCUGAUCGAUGUUUCUGCUCUGCGGUCUUUCUCCGCCCGAGGCUGACAUGUCCGUAUCUGUGACGCUCACAUAGAUUUAUUUACAUCUGUGUCAGAUUCAGGAGGCUACAGGAGCAUCACACCAAGGACAGAGGACUUCUUUAUUCAGCAUAAAAACAUUUCUGCAGCAGUGGGAGUGGGAGGGAAAUCAGAGGAAUGAGGAGACAGGAGAGAGAGAGAGAGAGAGAGAGCGGAUAACUUCACCAACACUGACAGUAUUCUUUAUUAAAGGGGAUGGAGAUUUGCACUGAAUAUAAUAUUGAAGUCCGUCUAUCAUCCCUUUAACUCUGUUUUAAUCGUCUGUGAUGAAUAUUCAAACUGGAGGAAUGAGAUUCUGGCAGAAACAGGAGCGCUGAAUGUCAGUGAUAGGUCAGCUCAGCAGGAAGGUCAGCGUCUGAAUUAUUCACUCCAAAUGAAGUUAAUCGGUGAUUAAAAAUCUACCAUCAUUUAUGGAGAGGGUGUUGGUUUGACCAGCAGACCUCUGACAGGUGAGUCCAGAGAGAGUACAGGUGAGAUAAAUAACCGCGAGGAUGAAGGUUUGCUCUGCUCACAGUCCCCGUGAGGAGUCGGGCUGGGAAAAUCUGCAGUAUUUCUAGGAUGAGGACUGCAUUUCCCAUGAGCACCGUCACCCCUGAAGACUAGAGGAUCUGUGUUACAGACCCACUCUAAUGAAAAUCCUGUUUUUCUUGUCGUCUACAUGUUCAUAUAUUGAUUUUUCUGAUACUACAGGACGUAUCAUAGGAAAAAUAAGUGUGACAUUUGUGUUUCUGACUCAUUCAAAUCGCUGUGAAUCUCUGGCAGACUUAAACAGCAGGUUCAGAUACAGUGAGAUUUCCUACAUCACAAAUCCAAGCUCCGCCCCCAGAGCCCCGCUAUGAAGGCCAGACUCAGAGAAGUCGAGAGGACGAUCACGGAACAAGCGUGUGAGUUAGCGGAUUGUAAUGAUAUUAACUUUCAUCGUGUCUCUAAAGACAUUCGUGUCCGAGAGAUGAAUAACUCCGAUGUUACCUGCUUCUUCUACUUCAACAUUAGGCUACAAGCUAGCAUGAAGAGGAGUGUGCAGAACAGCGCUGACUCCGCCCACGACUCAGAGGUGAAUUGCCAAUGAGCUACAGGAGCUCUGCAGAAGAAAAGACCUUGAAAAGGACACAGGUAAUGUGAAUUUGGCUAAAAACUUCAUAAUCACAAUUUAAAGACUUUAAAUAGUAAAAAAAAUGAUCGGAGUGUGACUUUAAAGAAGCAAAUAACAGAAUCUGCAGAAACACUUUUUCAGGAAGCAGAUCGAAGAUCUCGCGUUGAUUUGAAGCUCCAUCAAAUCAUUAAGUUUUACUGGAGCUGUCAGCGUGAAUAAGAAAAGUGCGGUAAAAAGCACACCUUAGUGUAGCUGACACUUCUGCAGCCGCCAUAUUGGAAAAUAACACCAAAUUGGAUAAUGAAGACCACCACAACAGGAAGGAAGAAUGGAAUACAGUGGACCUUCUGGUCACAGCUUGAGGACCUCGAUUUUACUGACGACCUGGCCCUCCUGUCACACAGCCAAAAUUGCAUGCUGAAGAAGACCAACCGGCUAACUCCAACACCCCUUGGAACAGGCCUCAGGUUAAACAAGGAAAAGACGAAACUGAUGAGGAUGAACACCCCGACCAACAUCCCUGUCACCCUAGAUGACAGGCCCAUCGAAGAAGUCGACUCCUUCACCUACCUCCGCACAAGCGAGGUGGCACAGAUAGGGAUGUCACUGCCAGGGUAGGUAAAGCUAGAGCGGCGUUUAUUAUCCUGAAGAACAUCUGGGCCUCAGGGGAAAUAGAGGCGCAUAUUUGGAAUUAAGUGGCCGGAGGAAAUCAACAAUAAGGAGCUGUGGCAGAAAGAGAGACAGGAGCCAGUGAAGAGCCAGAUCCGGAGGCGGAAGUGGGGCUGGAUUGGCCACACUUUGUGUAAAUCAUCAGCUUCCGUCACACGCCAGGCCGUGACUUGGAAGAAGAGGGGAAGGCCCAAGAACAGCUGGAGGCGGGACACUGAGUCAGAGCUGAAGAGUUAUGGGGAGAGGUGGAGAGGAUAGUCCAGGACCGUGCUGGAUGGAGAAGAGUUGUUGAUGGUCUUUGCUCCACAGAGAGUUACGGGUCUAAGUAAGUAUACAGUGUUUUAAAAUGGCCGAUAGAAGGUGUCAGAGCGUUAUUAUCAGCUGCUCUGAAUGUGGAAAUUAAACCUCAAAAACAAGAGCGGUCACUUCUGGACGACUGAACCUCCCGAUUAUUUAAACCGGAUUUUAUUUGGGUUUUAAAUUUGAACGCUGCAGAACCACAACACGGCUCUGUGGACUCUAACGGUCCGGUUCAGAUGAAACAAACAAACAGGAGUGAGAUUCUGCAGAGGAACCAGAAGGACCGUGAAUUAAAUCAGCUGACACGACAGAUCGGUCUGUUUACGAACCGUCCUGAUGGUCAGUGAGGAUCAGUCUGAGGAGAAUCCGUCACUUUUAUUAUCCAAUCACAGAUGACCUUGUUUCUGUUUGCGGCUCGGGACGAUUUCAGAGUGAAAUGAGAGUCAGUGGACGGUGGCUGCAGAGGACAAAAACAGGAAAAUGGAGACAGAUGAAUCCGGGCGAGGUCUGAGAGUCAGCUCAUUAUUCUGAUGCUUUUGUCAUUAUUUCGGUGUCACAUCCUCGAUGGAGAUUCAGACGCCGCAUCAUCCGGUCUGCUCUCACUGAUCAUCUUCAUUCAUCUCCAUUCAGAGCAGGAAAUGGGACGACAAAACUCUGAUGAGCAUCGAGGAGCAAUAACAACGUUUCUGUCACCGAGGAGGAUCAGUGAGACACAGACAGAACCAGGACUGAUGGGCUCAUCACCACACUGACCUUUACCCAUCCUUUACACUCCGGUUUCUGCUCUAUGUGGACCUGAACCGGGACCCUCUUUAACCUGGGAGGUCCCGGCUCUGCCUAAGUCCAUAUAAAGACCCCAAUUACACAUGUCAAUGUCAAGUUUAUUUGUAUAGCCCAUUUAAAGCAGCCAGUGGCCUACCAAAGUGCUUUACAAUAACGGAUAUAUCUGAACCUUAAAACCACAAGACUCUGACUCAAACAGGAUCAUACAUGGAGUGGAGGAGCAACCCUGAACCUGACCCUGAUUUUGACCCUAACCCUAAUCCUGACCCUAACCUCUUACCCUGAUCCUGACUCUAAUCUAAACCCUAACCCUAACCUCUUACCCUGAUCCUGACCCUUACCUGACCCUGAUCCUAAAAUGACCCUAAUCCUAACCCUGACCCUGAUCCUAAACCUAAUCCUGACCCUAACCCUAAACCAAAUCGACACUUAUCCUGACCCUGAUCCUAACCCUAACCCCUAAACCUGAUCCUGACCCUAAUCCCAACCCUGGCCCUUAACCUGACCCUAAAUCUUACCCUAACUCUGAUCCUGACCCUGAAACUAAACCUGACUGUAAUCCUAACCCUAAUCUGACCCUUAUCCUGAUCCUAAACCUAACCCUAAUCCUGACCAUAAUUCUGGCCCUCACCCUCAUCCUGACCCUUACCCUUAACCAAUUCCUGACCCUGAUCCUGACCCUAAUCUUAACCCCUAACCCUGAUCCUGACCCUAAUCUUAAACCUAACUCUACUUCUGACCCUGAUUCUUACCCUAACUCUAAUCCUGAUCCUAACUUUAACUCUUACCCUGACCCUGAAACUAAACCUGACUGUAAUCCUAACCCUAAUCUUGACCCUUAUCCUGACCUUAAACCUAACCCUAAUCCUGACCAUAAUUCUGGCCCUAACCCUCAUCCUAACCCUAACCCUUAACCAAAUCCUGACCGUGAUCCUAACCUAACCCUAACCCCUAACCCUGAUCCUGACCCUAAUCUUAAACCUAACUCUACUUCUGACCCUGAUUCUUACCCUAACUCUAAUCCUGAUCCUAACUUUAACUCUUACCCUGACCCUGACCAAGCUUUUGAUUGUCAGGACCAGCUCUGAAGGUCUUCCCUGAAAAACUCCGAUGUUCCUCCUAAACCUGAAGAUCUUGUUUAAAACCGAGGAUGCAGCAUCUAUGAUUUCCAGUUCUACGUCGAAAGGACAACUGGACUUAACUAAGUCCAGUUGUCCUUUCCAAAAGAGUUUUAGAUUCUGAUCCAUCAGACCUCAGGACGGCUCUCCUCGUCCUCUCAGUCCACUAAUGGGCUCAGGUCCAGAAAAGUCUCUGGUGGUUCUUGACCUUGUCUCUAUCCGGUCUCCUCAUGGUUCAGUUUGAACCUGAUUUGAUCUGUGUUUACUGUCCUGUCUGUUUUCAAUGCCGACGAUCAAAUCUACUGAUUUUUACGUUACAGGUUAAAAAUUUAACAUCAGUCUUUUUUUUUUUUUUUUACUGUUUUCAGUCUAAUUUAGUUUUUUAUAAAUAAUCUGUAAACCGUUAAAAUCUGAAAAAAAUUGAUCGACUUUCCCCUCGAGGAUCAAUAAAGAUGAUAAACUUCUUAUCUCAUAAUUAUUAAUUUUAGAUUUCAUGUCUCUCAGCGUCCAGACUUUCUUCAGAUGUGAUUGUCAAAGUGGAAGUUCAGAAAAAUAAAAACAGUUUGUAGGAAACUGAGGGAUAAAAACACACUAACUCCAGGUAAUAGUCCCCUCCCGUCAGUGUCUACGAUGACGUUUUCUAACUCUACCUUGAAUCUUCUCCUCCUGCUGCCUCCUCCACAUCUGAGACAAUUAGACCUGAUUCUAUCUAAUACUGUGAGCCGAGGACCUAAUCUCCCUGAAUUACAGUCUUCUGUUGUUUAUCUGAGCAGGAGCUGCUGGAUUAUCUGGAGUGUAUUUUUAGCAGCAGCACAAAGAUCCCGUCAAUCUCCACAAAAAUCCACUUUAAGAUGAUUUUUAAUUCCCAAAUAUGAAAUCACACUAGAGCUGAAGUUAGUCCUGAUAUAACAAACUUCCUCAUGACUAAUUUAUAAGUUCAGCCUGCAGAUUUGGGCUCAUGUUGACCUCUGACCUCAGCGUCUCUGCAAACUUCGAGAUGAUGUUCUUCAAGAGUACGAGAGGACGCCUCCUCUGUAACCGAGCACGGCCUAAAGCUUGAAUAAAAUUACAUCUGAUUGAGUGUGGAGAGCUUUUUACCGCCGAUGGAGCGUACUUAGUGAGUGGAAAAUGUGCUUACCCUGCUAAUUAUACCACAUGACACAGAUGGUUCUGAGCUGGGCUGGAAAAAACUCUGGAAAUCAGCGCUGUGCCGCCGCCAAGAAAAUGAUUCUUUCACUCCAAAAAUCUCUCAAUGUUUCAUCAAAUGUCACCGAUAGAAGUUAGUGUUUUCUGAGGAGCUCAAAUAAAGAUGGUUCGGCUUUAAAACGUGAAUAAAGAAGUUUUUUUUUCUGUAAUUUUCCAGUUUAAAUGUCAGAGUGAAGCCGUCAGGCCCGAGGUCAAACUCUCAGACAUGAGAUUUAACAUUUACAAAGGUGAAGAGAGAGGGGAGCGGACCGGGGCGGUGAAAUGAAGCGUGUCGGCCUGGAAACAGAGCGAGCGCUCGUUACUGAGUCAGUCUGCUGCAGGUGAGUCACAGGUAAACAGGAGGCCAAGAAGAGGUCAGCGUCUGUGUUUGUCUGCAGAGACUCCGACUGAACCAACACCAGAACUCUGUGAAGAUAUAAAUAUGUGUUUAUAUGAAGUGACAGUUAUUACCUCUGCUCUGUUUCCUCCUUUGAUGAGAAAACUCACAGCAGAUAAAAGAAGAACCAGGACUCCUCUGUGACACAGUCAGGGUGGACUUUCAGGACCUCAGUCUGAUCUGGACCGAGACGGAGGGACAUGAGGGGGUCUCUGAAGGUGGAGAGGUUUAUCCGCUUUAAAGGUGUUGUAGUCAGGAUCUGAGUUAGUUCCAGUUUUUAGGAGAAAUCUUGACUGUAAACUCGACCCCUCCAACCAGUUUUCCCCUCAGCUCCUCCCCUCCCUCUCUUAAGCCCCGCCCACAAACAGACGCUCCUGCUCGCUCGUAUCGUUCCAGUUAAAUUCAGAUAUAAUGCAGAUAAAUACUUCAGAUCAUUACAAAUGGGGCCCAGUCAAGGUGAAAGUCAAAAGCAUUGGUGCUACUGUAGAUGCCAACAGACUACCAGCAAACACAAUGUUUGCAGGACUUCUACAACGAGGAUAAAGUGACAUAGUCCAGGACCCGAGGGAGGACAGUUUAGCGAUGGCGCUACAACACGCUACAGCAGGUCCGUUUGACAAGAAACACUUCUGUUACAGACACUUGUCUUACUUUGUUAAAGCGGUUUACCUGUCCAGCAGAAAGGUUACAGGGUCACCAAGAUCCCCAAGCGUCCCCCAUCGUUUAUGUUGACCCGGCUUUUUAGCUCUUGUCCGGUCUACCUCCGUUUUAAGCGCCCGUUAUUCCUCCAGAGUCUCCGGUAUUUACUUUGUUUUCUUGCUUGUGUCGGCAGUCGUGGCCAAAGGAGGAUUCCGACAAUUUUCCGAACUUUCUGGUUGGUUUCUACUGUCCGAUAUUGUAGCACGCUAACUUUGUUUGGGCUCCUGAACGACACGGGGAGAGUCUGCCUCAACCAAUCAGGUUAGAGGAGGUAUCGAUAUAUUACCAAAUGUCAUCAAUAACAAUAACUAAUAACUAUUGACUGAUAUUAGAAGAGUUUUUGUAUUAAAACCACAAAAUAAAAAGAUGCUUCUUUAACGGUUUCCUGUCUACUCCACCUUUAAAGUACAGCAAAGUGUCGUCUGCAUAACAAGAUUUAAGGCGGGACUUCCUGUGAUUGACAAGCUGACACUCAGGCUGUUUGAAGAUGUUCGUGACCUGAAAAACACCUGAAGUGGAUCAAAGAAAAUCAGUCCUAGAUGUGAAAACAGACUCAGACGGUCGGACCUCCUGAUCCGUCUGAAAAAGGUCUUUGUGUCAGACCCGUAUCUUUAAAACCGGAUCAUGAUUCUGGGUUCAGUCCUGACCUUUUUCUCAGCAAACAUUUACAUUUCCUCGUUCUCUCCCUCUCCUCAUGUUUGCUUCACCUUUGGUCGAGUUUUCUGGGGUCCCUCUGUAAACCUCGUUUGUUGUUCUCAGGGUUUCUUGAUCCCUCUCCGGUAUAAAUCCGAUCUUCCUUCAGCUCUUUAUAAACUUUUCUCUCACAAACUCUGAAUCAAACUUUGAGAUUCAGUUUGCAUCCGUUCAUGCGGAGCCAGAUCACCUUGACUCCUGCUCCUCCUCGCUCCGAGUCUGACUCUGUGUUUGAUCCCCGCCAUGAUGGCGGCCUGCAGGCGUACAGCCGGAGCUUACUGUGAGUUACAUCAGAUACAGAGACUGACGGUCCGACCAAUCGGAGCGAGGAGAGGACGACUUUAGGACAUUUAAAAUCUUUUUUUCUUCUUUCUCCAGAUUUAGAAACCAGUGAACCCGACGUGAACCUGAGACCAGCUCUGACUCUGAAGUCUGAGAAACACAAAACUCAUAAAGUCUGAAAGUUUGAAGAGUUCAUGAUUUCAUUCAGUGACGGACAGAGAGUCUGAGAAAAGGGAACAAGAAAAAGGUUCCAGAUGAAGGUCAAAGUCCAGGAUUGAGCGAUAAAACUGUCCUCGUCGGACUCUGAGGUUUGGGGAACUUUAGUCCUGAUCUGGUCUCCAUGAUCCUGCAACAAAAACUGGUUCAGCUGAAGUACCAGCAUUUACAAACUCAUGGCAUCUGUCAGGAGAUCGACAGGCGGAUCGGAGCGGCGUCAGCAGUGAUGCGGACGCUGAACCGAUCAGUGGUGGUGAAGAAAGAGCUGAGCCGUAAGGAGAGACUCUGGAUUUACCGGUCGAUCUACGUGCCGAUCCUCACCUAUGGUCAUGAACUUUGGGUAAUGACCGAAAGAACAAGAUCGCAGAUACAAGCGGCUGAAAUGGGUUUCCUCCUCAGGGUGUCCGGGCUCAGCCUUAGAGAUAGGGUAAGGAGCUCAGAGGAGAACCGCUGCUCCUCCACGUCCAGAGGAGACAGCUGAGGUGUUAGGACGCCUUCUGGAUGCCUCCCAUUAGAGGUGUUCCAGACAUGUCCCACCGGGAGGAGACCUCGUGGUCGGCCCAGGACCAGGUGGAGGGAUUAUAUCUCUCGCCUGGCCUGGGAGCGCCUGGGAAUCCCCCCAAAGGAGGAGCUGGUGGAAGUGUCUGGGGUGAGGGCCGUCUGGGCUUCCCUCCUGAAGCCGCUGCCCCCGCGACCCGGACCAGGAUGAAGCGGAAGAAAAUGACGACAACAACAUCUGUUGUUGUUGGUCUCAAAGCUUUUACAACAAAACCCUAAAAAGUCAGGACACUGUGUGAAAUGUUGACCAAGAAUUUAGAUGUUUUUCUAUUUCCUAUAUAAUCCUCUCAACGUAGAAAUGGAAAUAAUAGAUGCUGCAUCUUCAGUUUUGAACGAUAUCUCCAGGUUUCGGAGCAACAUCUGAACAUCUGCUGCCAUCCAGACAAAGACUUUUUCAGGGAAGACCUUCAUAUUUCAACAUUUGGCGGAUCGAUAAUAACGAGUGACGACAGAGAAACUAAAUCCACGUCAAACAGCAGACUGAGAAAAAUCAGCUGUUUUUAUUUAUUACAGUUAAUCUGAGAGAUUAACCCUAAAACUUUGAACUUCACGUAUUUUUAAUGUUGUCAGUUUUUCGUCUCUCGGACCGUCCCUUCAGUGAAUUCAUCACAUGACUAUGAGACAGCGAGAGCGUCAGACCUGCUGCUGAGACUCUAAUCUGAGCAGGAAAUCAUCGACACAGAUAUUACAGAGCUGCUCUAUCAUCAUGUGUGCGUCUGUGCUAAUCGCUGUGGGUCCAUUAAAUUAGCUGGAACACAGGGGGAUACCGACUAUUUCACACUGAGGGAGCAUUUAAAGGCCUUUGUAAUAAUUUACUGCUGCUCUGGGCUUUUAUAAUCAGGUGAUAAAAGCAAUUAACCGUGAUGGAGAUAAAAACAGGUCCACCAGAUCACUCUCCGACUGAUUUCACAUCAUCGUAAACGUGGCGUGACUGUUUUUGUCGGAUUGUAUAAAAGUUUGAAAGUGACUUCAAAAA